rnacentral:misc_RNA from 1 species
GGCUAAGCAUAUGUGUGCCUAAAGAGCAUUUUCUAAUAGAUAGCAACUUUAAAGGGGUGAAAACAUUUAUACUUAUGGGCAUUGUCUGCCACAAAAGGGGCGUAUUGGUUCUAAUUUCUACUGAUGCAUACCCAGUAUAUUCCCAUUUAAUCAAACUAUUUAAUGUAUUCAUGUAAUUCAGUGAGUAGGUGAUAUAUGUGACAGUUGUGUGCACACAUACACAUUACACACACAAUAAAAUAUAAAUCUUAC